AACGAACGCUGGCGGCAUGCCUAACACAUGCAAGUCGAACGAGACCUUCGGGUCUAGUGGCGCACGGGUGCGUAACGCGUGGGAACCUGCCCUUAGGUUCGGAAUAACUCCCCGAAAGGGGUGCCAAUACCGGAUAAUGUCUUCGGACCAAAGAUUUAUCGCCUUUGGAUGGGCCCGCGUUGGAUUAGCUAGUUGGUAGGGUAAAAGCCUACCAAGGCGACGAUCCAUAGCUGGUCUGAGAGGAUGAUCAGCCACACUGGGACUGAGACACGGCCCAGACUCCUACGGGAGGCAGCAGUGGGGAAUAUUGGACAAUGGGCGAAAGCCUGAUCCAGCAAUGCCGCGUGAGUGAUGAAGGCCUUAGGGUUGUAAAGCUCUUUUACCCGGGAUGAUAAUGACAGUACCGGGAGAAUAAGCUCCGGCGAACUCCGU
rnacentral:rRNA from 1 species